GACGAACGCUGGCGGCGCGCCUAACACAUGCAAGUCGAACGAGCGAGAGAGAGCUUGCUUUCUUGAGCGAGUGGCGAACGGGUGAGUAACGCGUGAGGAACCUGCCUCAAAGAGGGGGACAACAGUUGGAAACGACUGCUAAUACCGCAUAAGCCCACGGUGCCGCAUGGCACAGAGGGAAAAGGAGCAAUCCGCUUUGAGAUGGCCUCGCGUCCGAUUAGCUAGUUGGUGAGGUAACGGCCCACCAAGGCGACGAUCGGUAGCCGGACUGAGAGGUUGAACGGCACAUUGGGACUGAGACACGGCCCAGACUCCUACGGGAGGCAGCAGUGGGGAAUAUUGCACAAUGGGGGAAACCCUGAUGCAGCGACGCCGCGUGGAGGAAGAAGGUCUUCGGAUUGUAAACUCCUGUUGUUGGGGAAGAUAAUGACGGUACCCAACAAGGAAGUGACGGCUAACUACGUG
rnacentral:rRNA from 1 species